rnacentral:tRNA from 1 species
GCCCGGGUGGUGAAAUGGUAGACACGAGGGACUUAAAAUCCCUUGGUCCGCAAGGGCCGUGUGGGUUCGAGUCCCACCCCGGGCACCA